CCUUAGAGUUUUAUUCCUGGCUCCGGGACGAACGCCGGGGGGCGUGCUUAACCCCAGCAAGUCGAGCGAAGUGCUUUAGACUGAUCCCUUUCGGGGGGACGUCUUUAGUAUCUUAGCGGCGGACGGGUGAGUAACGCGUGAGAAACCUGCCUUUCACAAAGGAAUAGCCUCGGGAAACUGGGAUUAAUACCUUAUGAUACCUUAACUCCACAUGGAGCCUAGGUUAAAGCGUAAAGCGGUGAAAGAUGGUCUCGCGUCCCAUUAGUUAGUUGGUGAGGUAAAGGCUCACCAAGACCAUGAUGGGUAACCGGCCUGAGAGGGUGAACGGUCACACUGGAACUGAGACACGGUCCAGACUCCUACGGGAGGCAGCAGUGGGGAAUAUUGCACAAUGGAGGAAACUCUGAUGCAGCGACGCCGCGUGAAUGAUGAAGGUCUUCGGAUCGUAAAAUUCUGUCCUAGGGGACGAUAAUGACGGUACCCUAGGAGGAAGCCCCGGCUAACUAUGUGCCAGCAGCCGCGGUAAUACAUAGGGGGCAAGCGUUGUCCGGAUUUAUUGGGCGUAAAGGGUACGCAGGCGGUCCUUUAAGUCAGAUGUGAAAUCUUACGGCUCAACCGUAAUUAGCAUUUGAAACUGAGAGGCUUGAGUUAAGGAGAGGAAAGUGGAAUUCCUAGUGUAGCGGUGAAAUGCGUAGAUAUUAGGAGGAAUACCAGUGGCGAAGGCGACUUACUGGUCUGUAAUUGACGCUGAGGCUCGAAAGCGUGGGUAGCGAACAGGAUUAGAUACCCUGGUAGUCCACGCCGUAAACGAUGAGUGCUAGG
rnacentral:rRNA from 1 species